ensembl:lncRNA
GGGGUCAUUUGUCCCUGCGAGGUUCGAGCAAUACAACUUUCUUCAGACUGCAUACAAGUGUGCUCUCUUGGUCUCUUUAUCUCGGGUCCUCAUAGCGUUCUCAGAGCAGCACUGCCCGUGUCACAGCGAACUAACUGCUACCUGGCAAUCUCAGGGGCAACAGUGUGCGUUGCUCACCACCAGCCACCUAUGGGCGACUACUGGUCGGCGCCUGGGGGCCCAGGGGCUGCGUGGAAAACAAGCGCAAGUGGCGCCCAGCUCGUGGGGCUGAUAUGGGUAGUCGCUUUAAGUGUGCUACAGUCAGCAUGCCGAUUUGGGGCUUUUCCGAACAAUUUUUCCACCUUUGUCACCGCGGAAGAUGCAGACGCCGGCAGCGCCGCCUCCCAGAAGCUGCUGGCGCAGGGCAUCAGUCCAGUGGGCAAAAACCCUCUGACCAUAAUGUUCCUGGGGGCUGGAGCCCACCCUGGUUCAGUUCAGCUGCAUUAUCACUGCUGAGAAACUGUGCCGAUUUUUGUCCAGCACUGCUCUCAGCGGAUGAAGACACAACUUUCCACACACCCUGGAAAAUGGCUUCGGACACGGGAACCACUGCUGCAGUUUCUUUUCUAAAAGUUUGCGAUUUGGACUGGCAUUUUAUCAUAGCAACAGCAGAGCUGCUGCCCCGCAUUUGGGACUGCAAAACUCGCAGACGCAGAAGCCACACCUGUGAAUGCCAAGUGAACUGACAUUUAUCGAGGGAAGAGCUGAGAUUCUUAUCAAUGCAGGUACAAGAAGCUGACAGGAACCUAAAGUCCAGUUCUGGUUGAACACUGGUAACAACAAUAGAGCUUUAAUCAAGAAGGAUCCAUAGAACAUCCCAUCUUCAUAUCCUCACAUAAUGCAGCUACAGAAUGCUUAAAUCAAGCAGAAAGAAAGAAUAGCAACCCUUGAAAUGUGCCAGAGGAAUAGAACACGGAAGGUCAGAUUUCAAUGGAAAAGCAAGGAAAUUGGAGACUGGAUACCAAAUGUGGUCAAUACUGGGAUCAUAAGCCUGAUCUAUCAAGUAAGUCUCUGCAAAUAUACCAUUUAAAAUCUUUUCUCUAUCUGUGAAUGAUCUCCACAGAAAAGUCUCUUCACACCACCAGAAUUCUCAAAAUGACGCAUUGAAGGGAGAUUGUAAGGAGAAAUCCUUUCUGAAUGAUUCAGGAAACUGAAAAGCACAGGAUUAACAAAGUCCAAAUAUGGAGCAAAUGAGCAGUGAUUCAGUUUUGCCUUGGAUCUUCUGGGCAAUACCAAGAUGAAGAUGAAGAGCAAAUGUCUUUAAAAGGCAAGUCCUAUAUUUGAUACAGAUCUGGCAAAAAGCAAUGGUACAUGAUUCAGAAGAACAUUACUGAAACCAUACUGUUUCUAAAUGUUUUGUUGAAAGUUAAUUAAUUUGUUACAUUUGAAGUGAAGCUUUUGGUGAUGAUGAAAAUGUGUUGCUUCUUGGAAUGUACUCCUGCAUAAAAUGAUUACUUCAGAAUAUUUUUGCCUGUGAAGUCAUCAAAUAAGCCAAUUCUUAUGAGGCUGAGCUAUAUUAGAGAGCCUUUUUGGACGCAAUAUUUGGCACUAUUGAUUAAAAACUAUCAUGGAAGCAUAUUUUAUAUCAGUGUGUGCUUUCCUCCCUUUAUUAGCUUUAUUCUGGUGUCUGCCAUAAUAAUUCUCUGAGGCAAAUCUCACAGGACAUAUAGUGCAAAACAUAGUGCUCAAGAUUUCUUUUCAUCUCUGUAUUCUCUGCACACCUUGUUUAAAAUGAGAUACAUUGAUAAGUCCUGGAAGUAAUGGGAGAAUUACCAUUGCUUUUCCCAAAGGCUGAGAAUAAAAAUGUUCCUUCCAAAGGCA